UCAACACAGUCUCACCCCUAUUCGUCACAUACUGCCGUUUGGUCAUUUCCCCCUCACGUCCAUAAGCCGACGUUGAGGGUACCCCCUAUUCGUCGCUUGACAACGUAGAGGGUCGUCUGAUAGAUUUGAGUGCAAAUCCCUCAUCUUUGAAUUUUGACGAAAUGGGGUUAUCCAUCCAGCGGUUUGCCUGCGCUGGAAAGUAUGGUUUCAGAUGGACCGUCUCCUGAAUGAGAUGAGUGACCUUGUCGAUCAGGCUGAACAUCAAGCUCACCUCCAACAGCUCAUUAGCAUGCACCAGGAAGCAGAACCAUCCACCGGUCAGCCUUCCACCAGUAAUCCAUCCACCAGCCGGCCAUCAAAAAGCAAGCAAGAUGUUAGGUGGAUUAAGAGGGACAGUGAUGGAAACAUUAUUUACGGCAGGCCCAGAUCAUCCCGGAAACAAGCAGCAGGUCCCAGUCACAGCCAGAGUCGAAAGACUGGUGUCUCUCAUAUCAGGGCUCCUGAAACCAGUGCGGAAAUGACCAGUGACUUUCCUUCCGUUACUGCAGAGUCCUUCCUUCAAGAGUUUAAAAGCUCACUGUUUGAGGAAAUACAUGACGAUGAAACGGUACUUCAAGCCUCAACAGACUGGUCGACCCGAAAGAGCCUCAUAUCAGGGUGGUGGGAGAAAGAGAGACCCCGACUGGUCAACACCAUGGUGGCUCGACA
ensembl:lncRNA